UAUAUAAACAAAGCGAAUUAUAAUACACUUGAAUAAUUUUGAACGAAAGGGAAUACGGUUCCAAUUCCGUAACCUGUUGAGUAUCCGUUUGUUAUUAAAUAUGGGCCUCGUGCUCAUCCUGGCAACAGGAACGACCAUAAAGAAGCCGUCGAGAGAUAUCGGAAGAGUUUUCUUUUCUGUUUUAUAGCCGUACUACCAUGGAAGUCUUUCGCAGAGAGAUAUGGUAGAUGGGCUAGAAGAGCAUGACAUAUACUGUUGUGUCGAUAUUUUCUCCUCGGACCUUGAAAAUUUAUGGUGGGGACACGCAAACUUCUCAACAGGCCGUACCAAUAUCCGCAGCUGGUCUCCAAGGUGAAGAGUCUCUAGUCGAUAGAAUAAUGUAGGUAAGGGAAGUCGGCAAAUUAGAUCCGUAACUUCGGGAUAAGGAUUGGCUCUGAAGAUUGAGAUAGUCGGGCUUGAUUGGGAAACAAUAACAUGGUUUAUGUGCUCGUUCUGGGUAAAUAGAGUUUCUAGCAUUUAUGUUAGUUACUUGUUCCCCGGAUAGUUUAGUUACGUAGCCAAUUGUGGAACUUUCUUGCUAAAAUUUUUAAGAAUACUAUUUGGGUUAAACCAAUUAGUUCUUAUUAAUUAUAACGAUUAUCAAUUAACAAUCAAUUCAGAACUGGCACGGACUUGGGGAAUCCGACUGUCUAAUUAAAACAAAGCAUUGUGAUGGCCCUAGCGGGUGUUGACACAAUGUGAUUUCUGCCCAGUGCUCUGAAUGUCAAAGUGAAGAAAUUCAAGUAAGCGCGGGUCAACGGCGGGAGUAACUAUGACUCUCUUAAGGUAGCCAAAUGCCUCGUCAUCUAAUUAGUGACGCGCAUGAAUGGAUUAACGAGAUUCCUACUGUCCCUAUCUACUAUCUAGCGAAACCACAGCCAAGGGAACGGGCUUGGAAUAAUUAGCGGGGAAAGAAGACCCUUUUGAGCUUGACUCUAAUCUGGCAGUGUAAGGAGACAUAAGAGGUGUAGAAUAAGUGGGAGAUAUUAGACCUCGGUUUGGUAUCGUCAAUGAAAUACCACUACUCUUAUUGUUUCCUUACUUACUUGAUUAAAUGGAACGUGUAUCAUUUCCUAGCCAUUAUACGGAUAUAUUUAUUAUAUCUUAUGGUAUUGGGUUUUGAUGCAAGCUUCUUGAUCAAAGUAUCACGAGUUUGUUAUAUAAUCGCAAACAAAUUCUUUAAUAAAACGAUGCAUUUAUGUAUUUUUGAUUUGAAAAUUUGGUAUAACUCCAAUUACUCAGGUAUGAUCCAAUUCAAGGACAUUGCCAGGUAGGGAGUUUGACUGGGGCGGUACAUCUCUCAAAUAAUAACGGAGGUGUCCCAAGGCCAGCUCAGUGCGGACAGAAACCACACAUAGAGCAAAAGGGCAAAUGCUGACUUGAUCUCGGUGUUCAGUACACACAGGGACAGCAAAAGCUCGGCCUAUCGAUCCUUUUGGUUUAAAGAGUUUUUAACAAGAGGUGUCAGAAAAGUUACCAUAGGGAUAACUGGCUUGUGGCGGCCAAGCGUUCAUAGCGACGUCGCUUUUUGAUCCUUCGAUGUCGGCUCUUCCUAUCAUUGUGAAGCAAAAUUCACCAAGCGUUGGAUUGUUCACCCAUGCAAGGGAACGUGAGCUGGGUUUAGACCGUCGUGAGACAGGUUAGUUUUACCCUACUAAUGACAAAACGUUGUUGCGACAGCAUUCCUGCGUAGUACGAGAGGAACCGCAGGUACGGACCAAUGGCACAAUACUUGUUCGAGCGAACAGUGGUAUGACGCUACGUCCGUUGGAUUAUGCCUGAACGCCUCUAAGGUCGUAUCCGUGCUGGACUGCAAUGAUAAAUAAGGGGCAAUUUGCAUUGU
rnacentral:rRNA from 1 species